CAAUAACCCAACGGUUGGAUCACACAAAACUACCCAAGAUGCAUGAAUAUGUGAACAGUAAACAGACAGAGUGGAGUCUUGAGGAGUUCAUUCCUAUAUUUGAAGAGACAUUUCUGCAAAGGGAAAGAAACUCUCCGCAGACAGAGUAUCUGCAAUCCAGAAGAUUCCCAAGCCUCUGACAAAGAAACAAGUUCUCUCCAUCAUUCCAAACUAUUCCUUUCUAGAAGCACCACUCAGAGAGAUGGCAUAUGCAACAGGUUCGACAACUCAUCCUCAGGGUUGACCUCAAGGAUAUGCCUCUGGAAAACCCCAAUUUGAUUCUCUUUGUGGAUGGAUCAGCAUCACAUGACCCAGAAAAUUGAGUGGGCUAUGCAGUGGUGACCGCACACAAGACACAAGAAUGUCAGGAAGUCUCCCCUCAAACCUCUCAAUACAAGCAGCUGAACUGUAUGCCCUCAUAGAGGCAUGAACAUAUGCUGAGGGACAGUCAGUAAAUAUCUACACAGACAGUAGAUAUGCCUUUGGGGUAGUGCAUGAUUUUGGGACAAUUUGGAAACACAGGAACUUCCUGAAGAGUCGUGGAACACACAUUGCCCACCAUAAACUAGUCUCUGAGCUACUGGACGCAGUCCUACUCCUCAAAACUAGUGCAGUAUGUCAGUGUGAUGCACAAUGUAACACAUUAAAUUAAAGUGUUUUAGAAUCAAUAAUGGUGUGUACUUAAUUACAAAUAAAGUUUCCAACCCCACUUUAAUUGAAACAGUGA
ensembl:lncRNA